rnacentral:rRNA from 1 species
AACGAACGCUGGCGGCAGGCCUAAUACAUGCAAGUCGAACGCACCGCAAGGUGAGUGGCAGACGGGUGAGUAACGCGUGGGAACCUUCCUAGUAGUACGGAAUAACUCCGGGAAACCGGUGCUAAUACCGUAUAAGCCCUCCGGGGGAAAGAUUUAUCGCUACUAGAUGGGCCCGCGUCGGAUUAGCUUGUUGGUGAGGUAAUGGCUCACCAAGGCUUCGAUCCGUAGCUGGUCUGAGAGGANGAUCAGCCACACUGGGACUGAGACACGGCCCAGACUCCUACGGGAGGCAGCAGUGGGGAAUAUUGCGCAAUGGACGAAAGUCUGACGCAGCGACGCCGCGUGUGGGAUGACGGUCUUCGGAUUGUAAACCACUGUCGGGAGGGACGAAUACGCCGCAAGGCGGGUGACGGUACCUCCAAAGGAAGCACCGGCUAACUCCGUGCCAG